GUCAGUAAUUUCUCCCCUAGCAAGAAUGAGGAAGAUGAAGAGCUCGGGUAUCUGAGGGCUGGUGUGUCUGCAUGCGUGUGUGUUUUGGGGGCCGACUGAAGGAAGAGAAGGCUGGAGAGAGGGAACAUGGGUCUGAGGGCACAUCGCUAAGGGGUCAAGAGGCCUAAAGGAGGAGUCUAAGGCUCUCCAUCGAACUUGGACUUGGUCUACAUUAGACUUUAACCUCCAUGAGGCUUGGACUUUCAGGCUUCCUCCCUCACACCGCGGGCAGGUGAGGCGUCUGCUACAGGCCUGGUCUCGCAGAGGGGGCCCAGCGCCCCCCGCCGCCGCCUUCUCCUGGAGUCUGUGUGACAGAAUGGGACCUGUGGGAAAGCAGCACGUCAGCACCCAGCCCCGCUUGCGCGCCAGCAGCUAAUUAAAGCCAGGAAGGUGAUGGCGAUUUUCAACUCAUUCCCGUUACAAACAGCCGACCUUCCUACCGAGUUCAAGUACCUUCUGCCUGGCCUGGAAGAACAAUAUCUCUCUGUCUCCCUCUUCCACUGGCCCUCACCUGCCUUCCCCUGAACAUGCAUUUUGCCUGACAGGAGACAGAGGCAGUUGAUGCUUGCAGCUUGGUCCAGGAGGCCAGCAGGACCAGAGAGAAGACCACAGCGACACAUGGGGAUGGCUGUCCCACAGGCAGAAAUGAGCAGCCGGGAGGAAGCCCAGGCAGCCAGCCACCCAGCUCCCUCCACAUCGUGGCCCUAGAACGGAGUCUUGAAGAAUAAGAAGCCACAGCUUGUCAGGGAAUCAGGCUGGAAAAAUGUUAUGAGACUGAGUAAGACCAGAGAUUCCUCAGCAGUGCCUGGAGAAGACCAGGAGAGGAAGCAGAAGACCCUCCUCAAAGAAGCAGCCUUCACCUCCAGACCUCCCAGCGGGACUUAGACAAUGGGGUUAGGCAGUCACAUGUCUGCACGUGGAAACUUUCUGGGACUGUGCUUGGAUCCUGGCUCUGCCUUUUACUAGCCAUGUGACCUUGGGAAAAUCACUUGACUUCUCCGUGCAGGAUUCCUCAUCUGUAAAAAUGGUCUAAGAUUAGGAGCCACCUCAAGGUUGUUGUAGGAAUUAAAUUAAUUCAUGUUUAUAAAGUGCUUUGAACAGCGUUUGGCACAUGGUAAGUGCUAUGUGGUAAGUGCUGUCUAUUGAUUACAUAAAUAAAAGUGAUCACCAUUAGACUUUCCAUGCAGAUGAUAUUAUGCAUAUACAUAUCUCCCGCAUAUGACGUCAUUGGAUCGUUUUGCAAUGGUGGGGGGUUUAUUCUUUUCCUUUUUGUUUUCUUCUUUUUUUUGUCAGAUGAAGAAACUGAUGGGAAGUGAAUUGGUUUGUAUUAAACAUUAGGUUUGCUAGGUCUCUCACAUAUUUAUUUAGUCCUCAUAACAAUUGUAUAAAAUAAAUAUUAUUUAUUCAUUUAUUUAUUUGUAAAGAUGGGUCUCGCUAUGUUGCCCAGGCUGGUCUUGAACUCCCGGGCUCAAGUGAUCCUCCUGCCUUGGACUUCCAAAAUAUUGGGAUUAAAGGUAUGCGCUACUGCACCCGGCCUAAAAGAAAUACUAUUAUCCCCAUUUUACAGAUUUGUAAACAGAAGCUGACACUUCAGAGUUCCAUCCUAAUGAAAGUAGGAUGUGACAGGGGAGCAAAUCUGCUUUGCCCCUGCCCAAGGGCUGGCAGCUCCUCCUCCUGGGGUGCAUGGUGAGUGGGUACACCACUCAUCUGUAUGUACCCGGCAGAAGCUGUCAAUUCAGUUCACGUCACUCAAGUUGAAUGGAUGUAAAACACACACAGAAGCACCAAGUAAUUGCAUUGUUUUCAAAUUACUCACCUCUAGGAGAAUUAAAUGAGCAAACGGAAGAGCAGCAACCCUGAGUUACAUUUCUCAAGACACCGGGGCUCUUGAUGGCACAGCAGCAGCUUGCUAGAGCUUGGUAAAGAGACUUGGGCCUGGUACCUGAAGGGCAAUUCCUUGGCCAUGACAUUGUAGGGAAAGACCUCUAUGGGUGUUGAAAAGACAAGGCGAGGACAAGAAGAGUUGAAAAGGAGCUGUUCUGAAGCCACCUGGCUGUGGAUGGAGGAAGCCACAUGUAGCUUAGGUAGCCUGCUAUUGUAAUUUUUUCUGCAACUGAAGAAUUCGAAAUGGGUUUGGUGGGUAGCGAAGGGCAGAAUCUGGCUUCAAGGUGACAGAGUUUGCAUAGAGAUGGCCUUCUUGAGCAAAGGUAGUGACUCCUACAUUUUUUUUUUUUGUAGAGUUGUGAUACCCAUGAGUUAGUCAGCUUGGGCUAUCAUAACAAAAUACCACACAUUGGUUGGCUUAAACAACAGAAAUUCAUUUUCCUGUAAUUCUGGAGGCUGGAAGUCCAAGAUCAAGGUGACGACAGAGUUGGGUUUCCUCUGAAGCCUCUCUCCUUGGUUUUCAGAUGGGUGUCCUCUUGCUGUCUCUUCAUGUGACUGUCCCUCUGCAUGUGUGCCCCUGGGGACUCUUUCUUAUCUUAUAGUGACACUAGUUCUAUUGGAUUGAAGUGUACCCAUACGACCUCAUUUAAACUUAAUUACAUAUUGUAAGGCCCUAACUUCAAAUACAGUCACAUCCUGAGGUACUGUGUAUUAGGGCUUCAACAUAUAAAUUUUGGGGCAAUCCAGUUCAGCCCAUAAAAUCCCUUUUUGGUUGCUUGAUUCUGUUUAUUUGGUGUCAUGCCUUCCUUUUCCUAAAGAACUUCAUGAAUAGAAUUACUUUCUAAGUGAAAGGAACAAAACUGAUUUUUAUUAAAAAUUAUUUUGAGAUGCUUGUGACAAAUUUUGAAGUAAGUGAAGAUUUUCCUGGAGCUUCUACAAAAUCCUGGCUGAGAAUCCCUGCUUUCUGGACAGUUGAGAAGGAAAUACACUUAGUACAGCUGUUAGAGAGAUAUAGUUGCAACCACUGAGUGCUUAUUAUCUGCCAACUUAAAUAUAUUGCCCAAGGGAAUAACAAAUAUUCUAGUGUUCUUGUUAAGUAUAUUGUCUAAGGUCACACAGCUCUUAAACAACAGCUUCAGGAUUUGAACCUGGAAUCUAUCUGACUCCUAAGUCCAGAUGCUGUUCACCACAUUAGGUUGAAGCAUGGCCAGUGUUCAUAACAUACAACUAUGUCUCCAUAUCUUUUGCUAACCAAUGUUCUUGUAUGUGCAUACCUUACAGGGCAGCCAUUCACCACAAGCCCUACUAGAUGGCUUCCUGUAAUAAGGGUAGAACAGUAGUACUCUCCUUUUGAGAAGUUAUUUGUAAUUUUGUUGGUGGGCUGACAUUUAGGCCCUGCUCUCCAGCCCCAGAGGGGAUCCCAUAACCUAGAUCAGGCCAAUGAUGAUUAUCUCCGUGACUGUAGUGGCUGGUCCAGCGGGGAGGGUCAGGCAGGUAAGCUGGCCCAACCUGAGUCCUUCUUGAGGAUUUUAGAAACUGAAGGUAGGAGAGAAAAAUUCUCUCUUUUCUUCUGGGGAACGGGAUGAAGGUGGUGGGUAGGCAGAGCUGUUGGGAUGUGGAUCCAGGGAUUCUGGAAGUCCUGUCCUCCACCAUGUAAAGAAUACAUCCUGCAGAAGGAGAGAAGGGAGCCAGCACACAGAGAAGCAGAGUCAGGAGAUGGAGAAGGAGAAUCCUGAGAGCCUGAAGGUCCCUGGGUCCAGCCAUUGUCAAGGCCGAGUUCUACCGUCCUUAAGUUGUUUACCUUUCUUUCUUGCUUGCUUCUGUUAGAAGAUGAACACUCAAUGAAAAAUCACCAAACAUCUGAGGAAAGCCAUCAAAAUGAAAUAAACGAAACACACAAGUUCCUAAACACAAGUGAACAGCGUGGGCUGGGUUUUUGUCGCUUGGAACUGGAAACGCUGACGAUAAUGCUGACCUCUGAGCAGACCCACGUGAGGGGCAGCUGUGGUGUGGUGUGAUGAUGCUGGGAUAGGCACUCAGAUGGUUGAGUCUGAGUUUGGCUCUGAUAUUAUAUCAACUGCAUGGGCAGCUGUGGUGUGGUGUGAUGAUGCUGGGAUAGGCACUCAGAUGGUUGAGUCUGAGUUUGGCUCUGAUAUUAUAUCAACUGCAUGGGCAGCUGUGGUGUGGUGUGAUGAUGCUGGGAUAGGCACUCAGAUGGUUGAGUCUGAGUUUGGCUCUGAUAUUAUAUCAACUGCAUGGGCAGCUGUGGUGUGGUGUGAUGAUGCUGGGAUAGGCACUCAGAUGGUUGAGUCUGAGUUUGGCUCUGAUAUUAUAUCAACCGCAUCAUUUUGGGGAAGACACAAUUUCUCAGAAUUUUAUUUAGUUGUAAAAUAAAGAUAAUGAUAUUACAUGCUCUGUCUACCAUCUAGAGUUUUUGUCAAGACAAAC
rnacentral:lncRNA from 1 species